rnacentral:sRNA from 1 species
AGAUCAGGAGAAGGAAGGACCUCAGGAGGGAGGGAGAGGGAAGGAGGGGAGAUUGGGGAAUGAAAAACACCCGGAGAAAGGCCAGGGGCUGGGCCCCUCCCCAUCCCCCACUGCAGGCCUCAAUGGGUUGGGGGAGCCGCCGGGGUGCUGCACUGAGGGGGCCUGCCCUGCUCUGCUCCCUGCCAGUUGGUUUAGAGGAGGGGGUGGUUGCUGACCGGGCAGGAUGCCUUCUAGAAAUAAUUUUUGGCCUGGGGAACUGGUUUCUUUCUGGGCUUCCUGGCAGGACCACGGCUGCUCACCCAGGGAUUGACCAAGGGGUGUGUGUUCCUGGGCUCUGGGCCUGCUACUGUGCCCAUUGCUGGCCAGGAAUGUUUUGCCUGGAGUCAGUCACACCAUACCCAGGGUGCCACAGUAUAUGGAUGGGCUAUGGGGGUUGGCGCUUACUGGAGAAGUGGCCGGUGGGGAGGGAGAAGGUGGGCCUUGUGGAAAGGGAGGCCACCAGGCCUGGAACCUGAGCUGUGAGGACGCUUACUCACCUGAGAGUGUGGCGGCAUCCUAGAGCAGUCACCUUGGGGAGCCCUGGCGCCCAGAGUGCUCCCAGCUCCUUGCUGCCCUGCCCUCUCAGCAGAGCUCCAGGCAGAGUCCCUGCUCCAAGGAAGGGCCUUGGAGGUGGGGAGCUGCCCAGCCUCACACCCAAGAGGCAUUGGUGGGUCAGAGGCACAUCUGGCCUGGAGGGAAGUGUGUGGGCACCAGGGCCUGGCUGUCGGGUGGGGAGAGGCAGGAGCAGAGCCUGGGACUGAGAGAGGAGAGGCUCUGAGCCCCGCCCCAUCCUGGAAUCAGGUCGGUUACUCUCAGGGUAGCUAGCCUCGUUCCUCCUCUGCAGCCACCCCUGCUCCUUGGGUUGACUUGGCUUGGCGGCUGUCCCCAUUCCCUUCUCAUGCCCACCACGCAGCCCAGUGUUGAUGCAGCAGCCCACCAGUCACCGCCCCCCACCCCCAUCUCCCCAAGGACGCCAGGACGUGGGCGUGACAGCAGGCCAGACCUGGAGCAUGAAGAGCUUGGGUCAGCUCUUUACAGACUGGCCCUGUGCCUUGGGGCAAAGUACUUGACCUGGGAAGCCACCCGCUCUGCAUCUCCAGAAUGGAGACCGGAGCCUGCCCUGGCCACACAUCACAGAGCCUGGUGGGGACCGAACUCAACUCAGACACCGAUAAGCACUUCACGCAGGUGCAGAUGUCAGGACUGUGUCUUCCGCAGGUCAGAAAGACAACCGCCCUGGAGACAAGUUCCAGCUCACAUUCCCACUGCGGACCAACUAUAUGUACGCCAAGGUGAAGAAGAGCCUGCCAGAGAUGUACGCCUUCACUGUCUGCAUGUGGCUCAAGUCCAGCGCAGCGCCAGGUGUGGGCACGCCCUUCUCCUACGCUGUGCCCGGCCAGGCCAACGAGCUGGUCCUCAUUGAGUGGGGCAACAACCCCAUGGAGAUCCUCAUCAAUGACAAGGUGGCCAAGCUGCCUUUUGUCAUCAAUGAUGGCAAGUGGCACCACAUCUGUGUCACCUGGACCACCCGGGAUGGGGUCUGGGAGGCCUACCAGGAUGGCACGCAGGGUGGCAGUGGCGAGAACUUGGCGCCCUAUCACCCCAUCAAGCCCCAGGGCGUGCUGGUGCUGGGCCAGGAGCAGGACACUCUGGGUGGUGGAUUUGAUGCCACCCAGGCAUUUGUGGGUGAGCUGGCCCACUUCAACAUCUGGGACCGCAAGCUGACCCCCGGGGAGGUGUACAACCUGGCCACCUGCAGCACCAAGGCUCUGUCCGGCAAUGUCAUCGCCUGGGCUGAAUCCCACAUCGAGAUCUACGGCGGGGCCACCAAGUGGACCUUCGAGGCCUGUCGCCAGAUCAACUGAGCACGGCAGGCCAGGCUGAGCCCGCCCGCCCUCGCCCCCUGCUUGUGCGGCGAUGAUCUGUUUUGUGCGUCUCUUCUCUCCCUUUUCCCCAGGAAUGAACCGAGGCCGUCGCCCCUGCACACGCACACGCACACAGCCUGGUUUUGUCCUCAUGCACACGAAGCAGCCCCUGCUCCCAUCUGUCCCUGAGGAAGCCCCACUUCUCUGUAGGAGCCCGGACUCUCUCAGGCAUGCCCCAUUCACAGCUGAAGUGGGUGCUGCAACGUCUUGAACAAGGCAGAAGUAGCGCCCGUCGGGUUGUGGCAUCCUUGGAUCUGCAGGGAUCUUCUCCGUUUGCAUGUUCCUCGGGGUGGCGUGUUCCUUGCUCCCUGGGUCCGACGUGUGUUCCCGCACCUGCAUGGACUGCCCCGGUUCUGUGUUGUGUGCCGAGUGCCGCCCAGUGUUCUGUGACCACCCGUGUAGCUACUGAAAAUGGCUGGGUAAGCAAGUCCAGGGUGUUGGAGGAGGUCAAGAGAGAGCUCAGUUUCCCUCUCCCCUUCCCCAAACACACCAAGAAGCAUUUUUAACGUGUAGGUUGAGAACAAGCCUAAAGGAUUCCCACAGCUGGGAGCCAGCAAGAGAGCUUGGAGUCGCCUCUCUAGACCAGAUCUAGCCCCACCCUCACUCCAGCCAUCUUGGAGCCCUUGUGUAGGCAACGCCCGGUGCGGGCUGUGCGGGGUGCUCCCCUGCCAGCACCUCUGGCCAGCCCCGCCCCUGCCGAUCUACUGGACCGCAGACCACCUUCUGCCCCCGUGGGCCAGGUGGGAGCUGUCCAUUCAGGACCAUGAGCCAUCCUCUGCCCUGACUAGCGAGGGGCAGAGCACACCCCAGUGCUUACACCUCCACCCCUGCAGCCUCCUGGCCCACUCACCUUCCUCGCCCCUCCUCUGACCCACCCAUGGUGCCAGGGCCGAAGCUGACCUUUAGCUCCCUCCUGCCCCUUGCUAGGGUCUGAGCCAAGCCCCUCGACUCCCUCACUGUGUUGACACUUGGCACUUUGCUGGCCCCGAGAAAGGUCGAUGACACAGCCGCAAAUCUAAUCCACGUAGUUCCCAUUUACUCCUUAAUCUGAUUGAUGUUCCCUCUUGCACUGAAUAAUACAUGCCUCUCUCAGGUAAGCCAUUUUAUAAAACAAGAAGAUAAAAAGCACUGUUGAGGCAGUGUUUGCUUUUGCCGAGCUGGUGUCCGACAGCUCCCUGGGUGUCCGGGGUGGGAGAGCUGUUGACAGAAGCUCUCCGGGCCCUCAGGGGCUUAGAUCCCACUUGAGUCGUAAGCCUUCUUGCUUUUGAUAACACGGUAUUAUUUCUCUUACUGUAGAAGAAAAAGUUUAUUACCAAACAAGAGUAUUUUUAUGAAAGAAAAGGACAAACCUAUAAAUUAACUCAACCUAUAUCUCCCUUGAAAAUACUUUCAGGCUCCACCAAAACAUAGAACUGAAAGCAUGUAUUUUGGAAGAAAGAGAUACAUUUUGUAUGCUUUCUUUUCCUUUUGUAGAUUCCCAGUUUAUUUUCUAAGACUGCAAAGAUCACUUUGUCACCAGCCCUGGGACCUGAGACCAAGGGGGUGUCUUGUGGGCAGUGAGGGGGUGAGGAGAGGCUGGCAUGAGGUUCAGUCAUUCCAGUGAGCUCCAAAGAGGGGCCACCUGUUCUCAAAAGCAUGUUGGGGACCAGGAGGUAAAACUGGCCAUUUAUGGUGAACCUGUGUCUUGGAGCUGACUUACUAAGUGGAAUGAGCCGAGGAUUUGAAUAUCAGUUCUAACCUUGAUAGAAGAAGCUUGGGUUACAUGUGGUUCACAUUAAGAGGAUAGAAUCCUUUGGAAUCUUAUGGCAACCAAAUGUGGCUUGACGAAGUCGUGGUUUCAUCUCUUAAACACAGUGUGUAAAUUUAUUCAACUAACGAUGGGAAAUGUAUUACUUCUGUACACAGUGGACUUAAGUGCAAUUUGUUGAAAGGGAACAAGUCAUUGAAGAGAAAAAAAAAAGCCCAAUACUUAGAGUCCCAAUUUUGUCUUAUUUGCC